UACAGAGGUCCCGAGCGUUGUUCGGAUUCAUUGGGCGUAAAGGGUGCGUAGGCGGCGGGCAAGUCUGAUGUGAAAUCCCGGGGCUCAACCCCGGAACUGCAUUGGAUACUGCCUUGCUUGAGUACUGGAGAGGGAACUGGAAUUUACGGUGUAGCAGUGAAAUGCGUAGAGAUCGUAAGGAAGGCCAGUGGCGAAGGCGAGUUCCUGGACAGUUACUGACGCUGAGGCACGAAGGCCAGGGGAGCAAACGGG
rnacentral:rRNA from 1 species